AAAAAAAGUGAGAACCCACUGUUUUAGAACUGAAUGCUUAUAUGUUUAAACUCUGGCCAAAAGUGUCUUAGAAGGUCUUUGGAGAAUACCUCCAAGUUCAGCUACCUCUUGUCUAGUCAGAUCCUCCUUUGUAUUCUUCUGAGGCUCCUGUAACAAACCAUUGCAAUCUGAGUGGUUUACAGCAUCAGAAAUUUAUUCUUCCACAGUUCUGGAUGCCAGAAUUCUUCAAUCCAGCUGUUGGCAAGACUGGUCCCUCCUGGAGGCUCUGAAGAAGAAUUUGUUCCAUGCUUUUAAGAAGUCUCUCUCCUAGCUUCUGAUGGCUACUGUGGCUGCAGAGUUCAAGUUGGGCCUUCCUUGGCUAUUUGCCAUCCCAAUGCCAAUUAGUGUACACAGAGCCUGGAUUCUUCUCCAGCCAGGAGGGGCAUGGUUACAGCCUGGCCUCAUCAUCAGAAGGUAUUUAUCGAGUUUGGGGGUACAUGUGAAGAACAUGCAAGAUUGUUGCAUAGGUACGCACAUGGCAGUGUGAUUUGCUGCCUUCUCAUUCUUUAUGGCAAGAAAGUACUAUGAUACUAGAUGGAAGCAGAAUCAUUUGUUGGCUUUUGAAAUGUGCACCAGGUCAACCAGGGGGUUGUGUGUUUUGUGUUUCACCAGUUGGUGUAUGAAUAAAGGCUGUUACUCCUUACAAAGAAAUUGUUCAUUAGCAACCAUAGUAAUUACUUGAUGAUGAAGUAAUGUUUUCAGUACUUUGCAUUUCAAAAUGAUAGCUUUUAUUUCUUUAUAAGUAUUUCAUUAUAUUUAGUGCUAUGGGAAACUGGUUUGGGGGUUUGAGCCAAAAUGAACUGUUAUUCUCACUUAAACUAAUGAGAAAUAGGCUUCUGUUUAGCCAUAUCAUAGACAAGAUCUGAAUUUCUAAUGUUAACUAGGAGAUGAGUUUAUGUGUACAAGGUAUCAGCUGUUCUUGAACACACCUUACCUUUUUCACAACUAUAUCCGGAGGACAUAGAACAGUUUCUGGCACGUACUGGGGACCUAUGCAAUACUUGUUAGUUAAAUGAAUGAUGAAUGUUCAAGAUGGAAUCUUUGAUGUUGAUGAUGAUAAUUAUUAUCUCAUUUGAAUGUUAGUUGCUAUUUUAAUUAAAUAAAUUACAGUUGACCCUUGAAAACAGGGGUUUGAACUGCAUGGGUCCACUUAUAUGGAGAUUUUUUUUCAAUAAACGUUGUACUGAGUGUGCCUGGUUCUACAACCUCCCUUUCCACCCACUCCACGGUUUCUGCCUCUCCCACACCUAAGACAGGAAGACCAACUCCUCCUCUUUCCUCUUCCUUCUCAAACUACUCAGUAUAAAGGCAAUGAGGAUGAAGAUGGUUAGGAUAAUUCACUUCCACUUCAUGAGCACUAUAUAUAUUUUCUGUUCCUUGUGAUUUUCUUAAUAAUAUUUUUUCUUUAGCUUACAUUGCGGUAACAAUACAGUAUAUAAUACAUAUACCAGGCAUUGGUUAACUGACUUUAUGUGAUUGACAAAGUUUCUGGUAAGCAAUAGGCUAUUAGUAGUUAAAUUUGGGGAAGUCAAAAGUUAGAUGUAAGCUUUCAGCUGCAUGGAGGUGAGGGGUCAGUACCCCUACCUGCUGUGUUGUUCAAAGGUCAAACUGUAAAUUGAACUGCUCCAUGUACUAGACUGAACUAACUUACUUAAGGGUGGUAUCCUCCUUCUCCAUGAGAUAGUAAGAAUUGAAAAAGAAAAAUGUAUAGUCAAUGCUAAAUGAACAUAUUUAGCAUGAUUUAAUAAAAUAUCAGGCAGGUUAGAUGGGGCCAUUGGUUUUAUUAUUCAACUAAAUAUUUAUAAAUAUAUCUAAACUACAGUCAGUUCUAUCAAUGUCUGACUUCUCAAAGUGUGUACAAAAUGCCAGUUUGGAGAUAAAGACUCAUCUUCCCAGAGUCCAUGAAUUUUUGGCCCUGUCCUAUUCCUAAUAUUUGUCUGACUGGGGGUAAGAAUGCAAGUGGAGGCCCACAUAUCAUCUGUUUAAAUGUAAGUUAUUAUUCAGUUACCAGAAAGUUUGAUGAAAUAUAUCUUAUUUUGCUACCUGGAUAAGUAUAUUCUCAUGAUGAUCAGAAAACCAGGUUUGAACUUAGAAUUCCUGGAUGCUCCAAUGUUGGGGGGGUCCUCUCAAGUUCCUCAAAUUCCCCUCCCACAGCAUGCCACCCCCUUUUCACACCAUUGCUUCUGUCCUGCCCUGUAAGGAUCUUUACAUAUACACUUAUAAAUAAAUACCCUUCUCAGAUAUCCAAACUCUGUCUAAACCCUUUGCAAAUACCUGUCCCUUAGUUGCCCCUAAAGGAUAGAGGCAUUCACAUCAAUGAUGAAUUCAAACUCAGAAAAACCCAAGGACAAAGGUCCACCCAGGUCACGGAGGAGGCUCCUCAACUGUUUGGGCAGGCAAUCCCUUGGCCUGUGUAUGGGGGAUGAUCUGACAUGGGUGGGAGUAUGGCCUCUGUGUAUAUGUCUCCCCUUGGCCCAUAGAAAGGGGCAUAUCUCUGGAGGGAAAGAGCAGGGUUUCUAAAGACCCAGGCCCAGAGUAGGGUUCCUCCUGACGAGUGUAAUA
rnacentral:lncRNA from 1 species